rnacentral:sRNA from 1 species
ACCGGGCACAGUGGUGCAUGCCCGUAAUCCCAGCUGCUUAGGAGGCCGAGGCAGGAGGAUCGCAAGUUCAAGGGCAGCCUCAGCAACUUAGCAAGGCCCUAAGCAACUUAGUGAGGCCCUGUCUCAA